CUGACCGUAAACGAUGCCAACUAGCGAUCCGCCGGUGGCUUCUAGGCCCUGGUGGGGAGCUUCCCGGAAACGAAAGUCUUCCGGUUCCGGGGGAAGUAUGGUUGCAAAGCUGAAACUUAAAGGAAUUGACGGAAGGGCACCACCAGGAGUGGAGCCUGCGGCUUAAUUUGACUCAACACGGGAAAACUCACCCGGCCCGGACACCGUGAGGAUUGACAGAUUGAUAGCUUUUUCAUGAUUCGGUGGUUGGUGGUGCAUGGCCGUUCUUAGUUCGUGGAUCGAUUUGUCUGGUUUAUUCCGAUAACGAGCGAGACUCCAGCCUACUAACUAGUGCGGGCAUUGUCUCUGUGCUUGUCACUUCUUAGAGGGAUUGGCUGCGUCUAGCGGCACGAAACGGAGCAAUAACAGGUCUGUGAUGCCCUUAGAUGUCCGGGGCUGCACGCGCGCUACACUGGCAAAAGCAGCGUGCUUGUCCGCCUCCGAAAGGAGCCGGUAAACCCUUGAAAAUUUGCCGUGAUUGGGAUCGGAAAUUGCAAUUAUUUUCCGUGAACGAGGAAUUCCUAGUAAGUGCGAGUCAUCAGCUCGCGUUG
rnacentral:rRNA from 2 species